UAGUGGCGAACGGGUGAGUAACACGUGGNCAAUCUGCCCUUCACUCUGGGACAAGCCCUGGAAACGGGGUCUAAUACCGGAUAUGAGCCUGGGAGGCAUCUCCUGGGUUGUAAAGCGUCCGGCGGUGAAGGAUGAGCCCGCGGCUCUAUCAGCUUGUUGGUGAGGUAAUGGCUCACCAAGGCGACGACGGGUAGCCGGCCUGAGAGGGCAGACCGGCCACACUGGGACUGAGACACGGCCCAGACUCCUACGGGAGGCAGCAGUGGGGAAUAUUGCACAAUGGGCGGAAGCCUGAUGCAGCAGACGCCGCGUGAGGGAUGACGGCCUUCGGGUUGUAAACCUCUUUCAGCAGGGAAGAAGCGUGAGUGACGGUACCUGCAGAAGAAGCGCCGGCUAACUACGUGCCAGCAGCCGCGGUAAUACGUAGGGCGCAAGCGUUGUCCGGAAUUAUUGGGCGUAAAGAGCUCGUAGGCGGCUUGUCGCGUCGAUUGUGAAAGCCCGGGGCUUAACUCCGGGUCUGCAGUCGAUACGGGCUAGCUAGAGUGUGGUAGGGGAGAUCGGAAUUCCU
rnacentral:rRNA from 1 species